rnacentral:misc_RNA from 1 species
UCCUGGUUAACCCAGGCAGUCUCAUUAGAGUUCCCACCUUUACGUGCUGGCAACUAAUGAUAAGGGUUGCGCUCGUUGCGGGACUUAACCCAACACCUCACGGCACGAGCUGACGACAGCCAUGCAGCACCUGUUCAGAGGCCCCGAAGGGAAAUGUUGUUUCCAACAUCGUCCUCUGUAUGUCAAAUCUGGGUAAGGUUCUUCGCGUUGCAUCGAAUUAAACCACAUGCUCCACUGCUUGUGCGGGUCCCCGUCAAUUCUUUUGAGUUUCAGCCUUGCGACUGUACUCCCCAGGCGGUAUACUUAUCGCGUUAGCUUCGGCACAACCGGGGUUGAGUCCAGUUACACCAAGUAUACAUCGUUUACAGCUAGGACUAC